GAUGAACGCUGGCGGCGUGCCUAAUACAUGCAAGUCGAGCGAACAGAUAAGGAGCUUGCUCCUUUGACGUUAGCGGCGGACGGGUGAGUAACACGUGGGUAACCUACCUAUAAGACUGGAAUAACUCCGGGAAACCGGGGCUAAUGCCGGAUAACAUUUAGAACCGCAUGGUUCUAAAGUGAAAGAUGGUUUUGCUAUCACUUAUAGUUGGACCCGCGCCGUAUUAGCUAGUUGGUAAGGUAACGGCUUACCAAGGCAACGAUACGUAGCCGACCUGAGAGGGUGAUCGGCCACACUGGAACUGAGACACGGUCCAGACUCCUACGGGAGGCAGCAGUAGGGAAUCUUCCGCAAUGGGCGAAAGCCUGACGGAGCAACGCCGCGUGAGUGAUGAAGGUCUUCGGAUCGUAAAACUCUGUUAUUAGGGAAGAACAAAUGUGUAAGUAACUGUGCACGUCUUGACGGUACCUAAUCAGAAAGCCACGGCUAACUACGUG
rnacentral:rRNA from 1 species